GCCCCUUUUCAUCAAUGGACUCCUGACGUCUACGAAGGAGUGUGGUUCAUUCGACAAUCCUACCUCUAUAUCUAUCUCUAAGGUGUUUGGGUUUUGCAAAACUCCAUAGACAUGCAGAAGAGAAAUGCUAUCCCCACUCCGACCAAGAUAGAACUUUUACCAAAAGUUUAUUGUGAUCUUUUUGUUCAAAUAAAAAUUAAGGUGAAGAGGGUCAGGAACAAUGAAUCUCUUUAUGAUAAACAGAUCCAUUUUGCAAGUUCGUUAUUACGGGUAGUUCCUACAAAGAAUCGGACUAAUGACGUAUACAAUGCUUGA
rnacentral:rRNA from 1 species